AGUAACAGUCAGAAAUGGCUGCUAAUACCGCAUAAGCGCACAGAGCUGCAUGGCUCAGUGUGAAAAACUCCGGUGGUAUAAGAUGGACCCGCGUUGGAUUAGCUGGUUGGUGGGGUAACGGCCCACCAAGGCGACGAUCCAUAGCCGGCCUGAGAGGGUGAACGGCCACAUUGGGACUGAGACACGGCCCAGACUCCUACGGGAGGCAGCAUG
rnacentral:rRNA from 1 species